GGCCCAGUGGCUAUGGUGGGUAAGAGCAUGGCCUCUGGAGCCAGACUGCCUAGGUUCAAAUCCCAGCUCUGCCA
rnacentral:tRNA from 1 species